rnacentral:tRNA from 1 species
AAAAAUUUAGUUAAAUUCAUAACAUUAGUUUGUCAAACUAAAAUUAUUUUCCAAUAAAAUAAUUUUU